GCCGAGGUGGCGGAACUGGGAGACGCCGCGGACUUAAAAUCCGCUGGCCCGACCGGGCCGUGGGGGUUCGAAUCCCCCCCUCGGCACCA
rnacentral:tRNA from 3 species